GCCGGUGUAGCAUAGCGGUAAUGCACCUGUUUUGUAAACAGAAGAGCGUGGGUUCGAAUCCCACCGCCGGCU
rnacentral:tRNA from 1 species